rnacentral:rRNA from 1 species
AGUGAACGCUGGCGGUAGGCCUAACACAUGCAAGUCGAACGGCAGCACAGUAAGAGCUUGCUCUUACGGGUGGCGAGUGGCGGACGGGUGAGGAAUACAUCGGAAUCUACUUUUUCGUGGGGGAUAACGUAGGGAAACUUACGCUAAUACCGCAUACGACCUACGGGUGAAAGCAGGGGAUCUUCGGACCUUGCGCGAUUGAAUGAGCCGAUGUCGGAUUAGCUAGUUGGCGGGGUAAAGGCCCACCAAGGCGACGAUCCGUAGCUGGUCUGAGAGGAUGAUCGGCCACACUAGAACUGAGACACGGUCCAGACUCCUACGGGAGGCAGCAGUGGGGAAUAUUGGACAAUGGGCGCAAGCCUGAUCCAGCCAUACCGCGUGGGUGAAGGAGGCCUUCGGGUUGUAAAGCCCUUUUGUUGGGAAAGAAAAGCAGCAGGUUAAUACCCCGCUGUUCUGACGGUACCCAAAGAAUAAGCACCGGCUAACUUCGUG